UUUGAGGCAGCAAGUGAUGGAGGCUCAAUUUGCAAGAUCACAAGCAAUUAUAUUACUAUCGGAGAUUUUACCAUAGAAGAAGAAGCCAUUAAGGAUGGCAAGGACAAAGCUCUAGGAAUAUACAAAGUUGUUGAAGCCUACCUCUUGGAGAAUCCUCAUGUCUAUGCUUAAUACUUUCUUUUACCAUGUGAUUCAUUAUAUUUAUACAUUCCCCUCAACUUUUGCCAGGGCAAAAAUAUAACUUUACAUCCAUAUGGUUGUAAUUGUGACGAAAAAUAAGAAAUUAUUCCAUCAAAAAUCAUUAUAUUAAAAAAAAGUAUUAAGCAUAGACAUGAGGAUUCU
rnacentral:misc_RNA from 1 species